GACGAGGGAUCCUAGCGUUGCUCGGAAUUAUUGGGCGUAAAGCGGGUGUAGGUGGCUUGGUAAGUCGGGUGUGAAAGCCCAGGGCUCAACCCUGGAAGUGCAUUCGAUACUGCUUAGCUUGAGUGCGAGAGAGGUUAUUAGAAUACCUGGUGUAGUGGUGAAAUACGUAGAUAUCAGGUGGAACACCGGAGGCGAAGGCGGUUAACUGGCUCGACACUGACACUGAGACCCGAAAGUGCGGGGAUCAAACAGG
rnacentral:rRNA from 1 species